GGUUAAGCGACUAAGCGUACACGGUGGAUGCCCUGGCAGUCAGAGGCGAUGAAGGGCGUGCUAAUCUGCGAUAAGCGCCGGUAAGGUGAUAUGAACCGUUAUAACCGGCGAUACCCGAAUGGGGAAACCCAGUGUGAUUCGUCACACUAUCAUUAACUGAAUCCAUAGGUUAAUGAGGCGAACCGGGGGAACUGAAACAUCUAAGUACCCCGAGGAAAAGAAAUCAACCGAGAUUCCCCCAGUAGCGGCGAGCGAACGGGGAGGAGCCCAGAGCCUGAAUCAGCAUGUGUGUUAGUGGAAGCGUCUGGAAAGGCGCGCGAUACAGGGUGACAGCCCCGUACACAAAAGCGCAUGUGCUGUGAGCUCGAUGAGUAGGGCGGGACACGUGGUAUCCUGUCUGAAUAUGGGGGGACCAUCCUCCAAGGCUAAAUACUCCUGACUGACCGAUAGUGAACCAGUACCGUGAGGGAAAGGCGAAAAGAACCCCGGCGAGGGGAGUGAAAAAGAACCUGAAACCGUGUACGUACAAGCAGUGGGAGCCCCACCACCAAAGCAUUUGCUGUACCGCGUUGACGGAGCGAAGCGACGUCAAACCGAUAAAACAGCAGUGUAAAGUGAGCCGCAGGGCGCUUUGCGCGACAGCGCAAAGGCAGGCGGUUUCGCGUAGCGAAAGCGAAUGCUUUGGGGUGGGGUGACUGCGUACCUUUUGUAUAAUGGGUCAGCGACUUAUAUUCUGUAGCAAGGUUAACCGAAUAGGGGAGCCGGAGGGAAACCGAGUCUUAAUUGGGCGUUAAGUUGCAGGGUAUAGACCCGAAACCCGGUGAUCUAGCCAUGGGCAGGUUGAAGGUUGGGUAACACUAACUGGAGGACCGAACCGACUAAUGUUGAAAAAUUAGCGGAUGACCUGUGGCUGGGGGUGAAAGGCCAAUCAAACCGGGAGAUAGCUGGUUCUCCCCGAAAGCUAUUUAGGUAGCGCCUCGUGAAUUCAUCUCCGGGGGUAGAGCACUGUUUCGGCUAGGGGGCCAUCCCGGCUUACCAACCCGAUGCAAACUGCGAAUACCGGAGAAUGUUAUCACGGGAGACACACGGCGGGUGCUAACGUCCGUCGUGAAGAGGGAAACAACCCAGACCGCCAGCUAAGGUCCCAAAGUCAUGGUUAAGUGGGAAACGAUGUGGGAAGGCCCAGACAGCCAGGAUGUUGGCUUAGAAGCAGCCAUCAUUUAAAGAAAGCGUAAUAGCUCACUGGUCGAGUCGGCCUGCGCGGAAGAUGUAACGGGGCUAAACCAUGCACCGAAGCUGCGGCAGCGACACUGUGUGUUGUUGGGUAGGGGAGCGUUCUGUAAGCCUGUGAAGGUGUGUCGUGAGGCAUGCUGGAGGUAUCAGAAGUGCGAAUGCUGACAUAAGUAACGAUAAAGCGGGUGAAAAGCCCGCUCGCCGGAAGACCAAGGGUUCCUGUCCAACGUUAAUCGGGGCAGGGUGAGUCGACCCCUAAGGCGAGGCCGAAAGGCGUAGUCGAUGGGAAACGGGUUAAUAUUCCCGUACUUGGUGUUACUGCGAAGGGGGGACGGAGAAGGCUAUGUUGGCCGGGCGACGGUUGUCCCGGUUUAAGCGUGUAGGUGUGUGUUCCAGGUAAAUCCGGUUCACUUUAACACUGAGGCGUGACGACGAGGCACUACGGUGCUGAAGCAACAAAUGCCCUGCUUCCAGGAAAAGCCUCUAAGCAUCAGGUAACAUCAAAUCGUACCCCAAACCGACACAGGUGGUCAGGUAGAGAAUACCAAGGCGCUUGAGAGAACUCGGGUGAAGGAACUAGGCAAAAUGGUGCCGUAACUUCGGGAGAAGGCACGCUGACACGUAGGUGAAGUGAUUUACUCAUGGAGCUGAAGUCAGUCGAAGAUACCAGCUGGCUGCAACUGUUUAUUAAAAACACAGCACUGUGCAAACACGAAAGUGGACGUAUACGGUGUGACGCCUGCCCGGUGCCGGAAGGUUAAUUGAUGGGGUCAGCGCAAGCGAAGCUCCUGAUCGAAGCCCCGGUAAACGGCGGCCGUAACUAUAACGGUCCUAAGGUAGCGAAAUUCCUUGUCGGGUAAGUUCCGACCUGCACGAAUGGCGUAAUGAUGGCCAGGCUGUCUCCACCCGAGACUCAGUGAAAUUGAACUCGCUGUGAAGAUGCAGUGUACCCGCGGCAAGACGGAAAGACCCCGUGAACCUUUACUAUAGCUUGACACUGAACAUUGAGCCUUGAUGUGUAGGAUAGGUGGGAGGCUUUGAAGUGUGGACGCCAGUCUGCAUGGAGCCGACCUUGAAAUACCACCCUUUAAUGUUUGAUGUUCUAACGUGGACCCGUUACCCGGGUUGCGGACAGUGUCUGGUGGGUAGUUUGACUGGGGCGGUCUCCUCCUAAAGAGUAACGGAGGAGCACGAAGGUUGGCUAAUCCUGGUCGGACAUCAGGAGGUUAGUGCAAUGGCAUAAGCCAGCUUGACUGCGAGCGUGACGGCGCGAGCAGGUGCGAAAGCAGGUCAUAGUGAUCCGGUGGUUCUGAAUGGAAGGGCCAUCGCUCAACGGAUAAAAGGUACUCCGGGGAUAACAGGCUGAUACCGCCCAAGAGUUCAUAUCGACGGCGGUGUUUGGCACCUCGAUGUCGGCUCAUCACAUCCUGGGGCUGAAGUAGGUCCCAAGGGUAUGGCUGUUCGCCAUUUAAAGUGGUACGCGAGCUGGGUUUAGAACGUCGUGAGACAGUUCGGUCCCUAUCUGCCGUGGGCGCUGGAGAACUGAGGGGGGCUGCUCCUAGUACGAGAGGACCGGAGUGGACGCAUCACUGGUGUUCGGGUUGUCAUGCCAAUGGCACUGCCCGGUAGCUAAAUGCGGAAGAGAUAAGUGCUGAAAGCAUCUAAGCACGAAACUUGCCCCGAGAUGAGUUCUCCCUGAGACUUAGAGUCUCCUGAAGGAACGUUGAAGACGACGACGUUGAUAGGCCGGGUGUGUAAGCGCAGCGAUGCGUUGAGCUAACCGGUACUAAUGAACCGUGAGGCUUAACCUU
rnacentral:rRNA from 2 species